rnacentral:piRNA from 1 species
UCUUCGUGCUGUGUUCUCUGUCUGGGA